CAACAUGUAACAAGUCCAUUUAUGUUUUACUUACAGGACGAUGUUCUCGCCGAAUUCGACCCGGUAGUGAUGUUCUGCAGGAAAAACACAAUUCUGUCAAAUACUGAGCUAAAAGGAACAUGGGAACAUGGGAAAUGGUCUUUUUCCAUGCCUAGAAGGUGCCUCGAUUGAAGAUUCUGGAGCCCAAAAGCAGUUUCGUAUCCUUUAUGUUCAAUCCCAGUACCUGAAAUGGCAGACCAUGUGGAGGGGGGUCUUCAAAGCUGCGAAAAGACCUGACGUCACGAAAAGACCCGAAGUUGAAGUCCUGAAGCCUCGAAAGGACCCAAAGCCAGGUUCUAUACAUUUACGCUCGAUUGAGGAUCCGGCUCACAGAUGGUUACAGGCCUCUUGCAGAGUCCGGGUAGUGUGUGACAGUAUCCGGUGAAAUAAGAAACGAAUAUACAAAUAAGAAGGAUAUAGCAGAAGGGAUA